rnacentral:rRNA from 1 species
UACGGAGGAUGCAAGCGUUAUCCGGAAUUAUUGGGCGUAAAGCGUCCGUAGGCGGACUCUUAAGUCGGUGGUGAAAUCCUGGAGCUCAACUCCAGAACUGCCUUUGAUACUGGAAAGCUUGAGUUCGGGAGAGGUGAGUGGAACUGCGAGUGUAGAGGUGAAAUUCGUAGAUAUUCGCAAGAACACCAGUGGCGAAGGCGGCUCACUGGCCCGAUACUGACGCUGAGGUGCGAAAGCGUGGGGAGCAAACAGG